GAUGUGAGGGCUGUCUGGCUGCGACAUCUGUCACUCCAGUGAUCGCCAAGGUGGAUUCGGCUGAUCUGGCUGGCUAGGUGGUUGUCCCCUUCCUCCCUCACCGCUC
rfam:Erinaceus europaeus unplaced genomic scaffold scaffold03133, whole genome shotgun sequence